rnacentral:rRNA from 1 species
AUACGUAGGUGGCAAGCGUUGUGCGGAAUUAUUGGGCGUAAAGCGCGCGCAGGUGGUUCCUUAAGUCUGAUGUGAAAGCCCCCGGCUCAACCGGGGAGGGUCAUUGGAAACUGGGGAACUUGAGUGCAGAAGAGGAUAGUGGAAUUCCAAGUGUAGCGGUGAAAUGCGUAGAGCAUUGGAGGAACACCAGUGGCGAAGGCGACGUUCAGGUCUGGAAAUGACAAUGCGGAGAGAAAGCGGGGGCAGAAGAGGGGAUGAGAUACCGGGGUGUCCCACGCCGUACCCUAUGAGUGCGAAGUGUGGGUGGGUUACCGCCCCUCAGUGCUGCAGCUAACAUAUUAAGCACUCAGCCUGGCGAGUACUGUCGCAAGACGGAAGCUGACAUGAUUUUACUGGG